ensembl:lncRNA
AUUACUCAGCUGUUCUAGUGGUCUGAGACAGGUGUUAGAUUACUCAGCUGUUCUAGUGGUCUGAGGCAGGUGUUAGAUUACUCAGCUGUUCUAGUGGUCUGAGGCAGGUGUUAGAUUACUCAGCUGUUCUAGUGGUCUGAGACAGGUGUUAUAUUACUCAGCUGUUCUAGUGGUCUGAGGCAGGUGUUAGAUUACUCAGCUGUUCUAGUGGUCUGAGGCAGGAGGUAGAUUACUCAGCUGUUCUAGUGGUCUGAGGCAGGUGUUAGAUUACUCAGCUGUUCUAGUGGUCUGAGACAGGUGUUAGAUUACUCAGCUGUUCUAGUGGUCUGAGGCAGGUGGUAGAUUACUCAGCUGUUCUAGUGGUCUGAGGCAGGUGGUAGAUUACUCAGCUGUUCUAGUGGUCUGAGGCAGGUGUUAGAUUACUCAGCUGUUCUAGUGGUCUGAGGCAGGUGUUAGAUUACUCAGCUGUUCUAGUGGUCUGAGGCAGGUGGUAGGUUACUCAGCUGUUCUAGUGGUCUGAGGCAGGUGGUAGAUUACUCAGCUGUUCUAGUGGUCUGAGACAGGUGUUAAAUUACAAGCGUUUUCAAUUGUAACGUUAAUAUUAUUACAUUGUGAUGUGUCGUGGAAUUAUCAGAAUUGGUUGGUAACAUUUGUAAGAUGUUUUAUAUCAAAUGUGUGUAGGUUAUUUCUCAUAAGAAUGUAUUUUGUUGUACUAUAGUGGUGGCCAUUGGCAGUUAUCUGUUCUAUGUCAGGACUAAGUUGCAUGGGCCGCAGAGAGGGGAGAGGUCAAAGUGUCAUCAUGUGUAAACAUGUCUUUUACUCCCUACCUUUCCCAGUGGGGAAAGGAAGGUUGCAGUGUCUGGAAUCAUUCUAUGCUCCCUCUUUGUUGACCUGUAGGGUCAGUCUCCUAUCUGUGUUUCCCUCUUAUGUUGUUUCUAUCUUAACCUUUAGCCUCACCCUCCUCUCCGUGAGUUUGUCCAAUAGUUUGUAUUUUGAGUGGGUUGUAUAUAAAUGACAAUUUGAUAUAUGCCUGUUGAUAUGGAGGAAUUGGUUUAUGGUUCUGGGGUUUGGGAAAGGAGACAAAGCUGAACGAUGAGUUAUGUCUAUGCUGUCUGACUAUGUGUGUCUUUGCUAUUAAAAGGAACUCAGUUGCAUUGUAAGGGGACUCUCAGAGAAUUCACUGGGGAGACACUGAAUUUAUCUGAGAGUCACAGGAUUGUGAUAGAGCUCGUAUAAUUAAAGAUGGACUUUUAUAACUAACUCUGACGUGUGUGUGUGGUUUGCUCCCAUGAUUUGGUAAAUAG